ACCAUAUGUGUGUAUUGUGUAUGUCGUACUAUACGUGACAUAUAAUUGAGGCUUGUCGCAUAUUUGGUCGAGUGAUAGGAUUCGCAACGGUAAGGCGGAGAUAUCGUUAACAUAGCACGGCAGAUGAUAGCUGAGAACCGAUUGUAGGUACGUGUGCGGGCGCAACGAGGCUCAGAUGUCGCAAUGGCGGUGGUGAUUUAUUAGCGUGGCGGAGAUGGUACAAGUGAGUUGAACGGAAUAAAGUCAGCUGCGGUGACGCAAACUCAGUAUCCGGAUACGACGAUACAAGUGUGCAAGGCAUCGAUGGCGACCGGACAUAGACAUGAUACACCGAAUAAUUUAUUUACACUAGGCAACAUACAUGACCGGAAGAGAUUAUGCGCUAUAUCCUUGUUUAAGUGACCCCGCAAGAUUCUGAUUUAAUACAUUAUUUGUUUUUAUAAUUUUAUCUAUAAAAUAUAUUAUUUAUAUUUUAUAUACGUA